rnacentral:rRNA from 1 species
UACGUAGGGUGCAAGCGUUGUCCGGAAUUAUUGGGCGUAAAGAGCUCGUAGGCGGUUUGUCGCGUCUGCUGUGAAAACUCGGGGCUUAACCCCGGGCCUGCAGUGGGUACGGGCAGACUAGAGUGCGGUAGGGGAGACUGGAAUUCCUGGUGUAGCGGUGAAAUGCGCAGAUAUCAGGAGGAAUACCGAUGGCGAAGGCAGGUCCCUGGGCUGACACUGACGCUCAUGCACGAAAGCGUGGGGAGCAAACAGG